rnacentral:rRNA from 1 species
CCCUUAGAUGUUCUGGGCCGCACGCGUGCUACACUGAGUGGAUCAGCGGGUCAGGUUGCGCGAAAGCGUUUCCUAAUCUUUAAAUCCGCUCGUGAUGGGGAUUGACGGUUGCAAUUUUCUGUCAUGAACGAGGGAUACCUUGUAAGCGCGGGUCAUCAUCCCGCGCCGAAUACGUCCCUGCCCUUUGUACACACCGCCCGUCGCUCCUACCGAUUGAGUGGUCCGGUGAGGCUUUGGGAUCUGAGCGGAAAGAGCGUUUCGCUGUUUCUGCUCGGAAAACUCAGUCGAACCUUAUCAUUUAGAGGAAGGAGAAGUCGUAACA